UACGUAGGGUGCGAGCGUUGUCCGGAAUUACUGGGCGUAAAGAGCUCGUAGGCGGUUUGUCGCGUCGUCCGUGAAAACUUGGGGCUCAACCCCAAGCUUGCGGGCGAUACGGGCAGACUUGAGUACUGCAGGGGAGACUGGAAUUCCUGGUGUAGCGGUGAAAUGCGCAGAUAUCAGGAGGAGUACCGAUGGCGAAGGCAGGUCUCUGGGCUAUAACUGACGCUCAUGCACGAAAGCGUGGGGAGCAAACAGG
rnacentral:rRNA from 1 species